rnacentral:rRNA from 1 species
UUAGGAAUCUUCCACAAUGGGCGCAAGCCUGAUGGAGCGACACUGCGUGAAGGAUGAAGGUUUUCGGAUCGUAAACUUCUGAACGAGGGACGAAUAAUGACGGUACCUCGCUAAAAGCACCGGCUAACUCCGUGCCAGCAGCCGCGGUAAUACGGAGGGUGCAAGCGUUAUCCGGAAUCACUGGGCGUAAAGGGCACGUAGGCGGUCUAGUAAGUCCGAUGUUAAAGCGUGGGGCUCAACCCCAUCACGGCGUUGGAUACUGCUAGGCUUGACGACUGGAGAGGUGAGUAGAAUUCCCAGUGUAGCGGUGAAAUGCGUAGAGAUUGGGAAGAACACCAGUGGCGAAAGCGCUCUACUGGGCCGGUACUGACACUCACAGGACGAAAGCUAGGGGAGCGAAAGGGAUUAGAUACCCCCGUAGUCC